UACGGGGGGGGUAAGCGUUGUUCGGAAUUACUGGGCGUAAAGGGCUCGUAGGCGGCCAACUAAGUCAUACGUGAAAUCCCUCAGCUUAACUGGGGAACUGCGUGUGAUACUGGAUGGCUUGGAUUUGGGAGAGGGAUGCGGAAUUCCAGGUGUAGCGGUGAAAUGCGUAGAUAUCAGGAGGAACACCGGUGGCGAAGGCGGUUCUCUGGGAAUGACCUGACGCUGAGGAGCGAAAGUGUGGGGAGCGAACAGG
rnacentral:rRNA from 1 species